UACGUAGGUGACCAGCGUUGUCCGGAUUUACUGGGCGUAACGAGCGCGCAGGCGGUCGUUCAAGUCGAGUGUGAAAGCCCCCGGCUCAACUGGGGAGGGUCAUUCGAUACUGAUCGACUCGAAGGCAGGAGAGGGAAGUGGAAUUCCCGGUGUAGUGGUGAAAUGCGUAGAUAUCGGGAGGAACACCAGUGGCGAAGGCGACUUCCUGGCCUGUUCUUGACGCUGAGGCGCGAAAGCUAGGGGAGCAAACGGG
rnacentral:rRNA from 1 species